GGGGAAUAUUGGGCAAUGGGCGCAAGCCUGAUCCAGCAAUGCCGCGUGUGUGAAGAAGGCCUUCGGGUUGUAAAGCUCUUUCAGUAGGGAAGAAAGGGUUAGGGCUAAUAACCGAAAGUCCUGACGUACCCACUAGAAGAAGCACCGGCUUACUCCGGGCCAGCAGGCGCGGUAAUACCGAGGGUGCGAGCGCUAAUCGGAAUUACUGUGCGUAAAGGGCGCGCAAGCGGAUAUUUAAGUCUGAUGUCAAAGCCCCGGGCUUAACCUGGGAAUUGCAUUCGAUACUGGCUGACUAGAGUGUGGUAGAGGGAAGUGGAAUUUCCGGUGGAGGGGCGAAAUGCGCAGAUAUCGGAAGGAACACCAGUGGUGAAGGCGG
rnacentral:rRNA from 1 species